UCUCUCUCUCUCUAUAUAUAUAUAUAUAUAAAUAUAAAUAUAAUUGAGCUCCUAUGUUUUUAAAAGUACUAAGUUAUUGGUGCUUGUAGAUUUUUGGUCAUUAGAUUAAGAGAUGUGUAGUUAAGAUAAUGUCAAACCCCUAGGGUUAAGUGAAUAGUUGGUUAAAUAGUAUGAUCUAACGGUGGAAAUGUUCAAAGAAAUAGAUCCAACGGUAAAAAAUUUAUAAGCACUAAGUGCUUGGUGCUUUUACAAGCAUCAUAACCGGACUCUCUCUCUCUCUCUCUCUCUCUCUCUCUCUCUCUCUCUAUAUAUAUAUAUAUAUAUAUAUAUAUAUAGAGUGAGGCUACUAUGCUUCUGGAAGCACAGAGCCUUCCGUGCUUUCAGGUCGUUUUUGAUGUUGCGACUUUCGAAUCGUAGAUCGGCUCCAUUAAACUUGAUCUAGAGUAUUUGAAGUACUUAGAAAAUAAAUUUUAUCAUUUUUCGAUAUCAUUUGUCUAGUGAUCGAAGGCGCUUAAAAUCAAUAAUUUUAAAGGCCGUGGUGAGCCAUUUGUAAGUUUAACGAUGUCGAAAUAUUCAAAUCACGUGAAAUUUUGAUAGAAAAAUCUUUAUACUAUAUAAAACAAGGUCAAUAUCUUUGAUCUAAAAUUUUAAUGUCAUAUUAUCACGUUUUGUAUGAUUUUUAUUUUCAGCCGUUGAUUUUAAGCCCCUUAGUUCACUAGGCAAAUGAUAUCGAAAAAUUACAAAAUUUAUUUUCUAGGUACUUCGAAUACUCUAAAUCAAGUUUAACCGAGCCGAUCGACGAUUCGAAAGUCGCAACAUAAAAAACGACCUGAAAGCACGAAAGGCUCCGUGUUUCCAGAAGCAUAGUAGCCUCACUCUAUAUAUAGGGUUGGGCUAGAAUGCUAUUGAUAGCAAAAAAUCUUUUUUCCUAUCAAGUUUUUAGCCUUUGGAUUAAUUUCUUUCUUCAUUUCUAACCGUUGGAUUAAAUAUUAUAACCCAGUGGGGACUACUCAACCCUAGGGGGACCACUCAACCCUAAGAGACUAAUAUCAUCAUAACCCUACAAUUCUUCAUCUAAUGGUUAAAAACUUGAUAGCAAAAAAGGUUUUUUGCUAUCAAUAGUAUUCCAGCCCAACUCUAUAUAUAAUUGUCAUGCAGAUAUAUUAAAUUAGCCAUUUAAAUCAUGAUUAUCAUGUGCAUGGGUACAUCAGAAUGUAAACUGAAAUAUAGUUAAUGUAUCAGUU
rnacentral:lncRNA from 1 species